AACGAACGCUGGCGGCAUGCCUAACACAUGCAAGUCGAACGAGAUCUUCGGAUCUAGUGGCGCACGGGUGCGUAACGCGUGGGAAUCUGCCCUUCGGUUGGGAAUAACUGAGAGAAAUUUCAGCUAAUACCUUAUAAUGUCUUCGGACCAAAGAUUUAUCGCCGAGGGAUGAGCCCGCGUAGGAUUAGCUAGUUGGUGGGGUAAUGGCCUACCAAGGCGACGAUCCUUAGCUGGUCUGAGAGGAUGAUCAGCCACACUGGGACUGAGACCCGGCCCAGACUCCUACGGGAUGCAGCAGUGGGGAAUAUUGGACAAUGGGCGAAAGCCUGAUCCAGCAAUGCCGCGUGAGUGAUGAAGGCCUUAGGGUUGUAAAGCUCUUUUACCAGGGAUGAUAAUGACAGUACCUGGAGAAUAAGCUCCGGCUAACUCCGUGCCAGCCGCCGCGGUAA
rnacentral:rRNA from 1 species